rnacentral:rRNA from 1 species
CCCUUAGAUGUUCUGGGCCGCACGCGCGCUACACUGUUUGAUUCAGCGAGUCUUAACCUUGACCGAAAGGUUUGGGUAAUCUUCUAAAGUCAAACGUGAUGGGGAUCGAUCAUUGCAAUUAUUGAUCGUGAACGAGGAAUUCCUAGUAAAUGCGAGUCAUCAGCUUGCGUUGAUUACGUCCCUGCCCUUUGUACACACCGCCCGUCGCUACUACCGAUUGAAUGGUUUAGUGAGAUCUCCGGAUUGGCUCUGUAGGUCCCGCAAGGGAUUUAUUAGUAGCCAAGAAGCUGCUCAAACUUGAUCAUUUAGAGGAAGUAAAAGUCGUAACA